UUUUUUCUUUACAGAAUUUACAUCUCUUCUCUGAGAGGGUAAAUCCCCUUUUCUCUCCUCUGGUAGCUCUGAGAGGGGAAUGGGGAAGGGAGUGGCUUCACCAAAUCUUGUGGCCUGCCCAUGGAUCACCAAAGCAAAGCUGGGAAGGAGAUUCUCUUGCAGUCUAGAUCUGACCGAGUGCUCCAGCCGCACGCGGAUUUUGCGGCGCCCGGCAGCGAGACCGCAUCUCGUCGUUGCUGAUCUGCAGAGGCAAAAGCGGUCGCCGGGAGGCCACGGGAGAGUAUAAGAGAUUGCUCUCCGGUUCGUGGCGCUGGGACCAUGAGCUAUGUCGUCCGAUUGAACGACGUCGUCCGUGGCAGAGAGGGGGAGUCAAACGUGGAGGCAAGCUGUGGGCUUCCUAGUUGCUACUGCUUUCGGCUUCCACCUAUGUAAUGUGUGCUACAACUUUGCAUCAUUCCUACAUCCCUCCACAUCAGCUUAUUCUUCAUAGAUGAGAGCUAGUUGGGACCUCAGCAGGUCGGUCUUGACUUCAUUGGGCAUCGAGUUGCACGAUGAUGUCGCAGCUUUGAAUGAAUAUCGAUGUUUGUACGGCAUCGUGUCGCAGAAUCACAUGCUUCAAUUUGUAGCACCCUGACUAUGCUUAAUGGCUUGGAUAAUUCCAGUGGAAUGGCUGUAGGGUUACCUCCUCCUCGUCGUUGUUGCCUCGGCCACCGCCACUUUUCUUUGGCGCUUGCAUCCACGCCCAUCAUGCGUUAGCUGUUCGGGGCCCUCUGUCGUAUUCGUAUAUGUGAUGUAGGCCAUUCUCCCUCGGCAAGCCUAGCUUUCUUUGCUAUUGUUGGUCUCCGGCGGUGAGACUUCGUCCUUGAUCAGGUCAUCUUCCAAGGAUUGAGCCAAAUUUUGUUCGAGUACACGUGAUUGUUCCUCCACCACCUACAUGUAAUCUUUUUUUUUUGAGCAUCAGUACAGACAUAAGCGCUCAUAUACACGCGCAUACACUCAUCCCUAUGAACGCACACACGCACACCUUACCCCUAUGAGCACCUCUGAGAGACUGAGCCGGCAUAUAAUGUGGCGCCUCGUCGUCGACGGGAACGUCUUCUCCCAUUGAAAGCGCGUCGCCGGAAAUCUUGAAAUAAAUCCAGGAAUAAUGUGAGCACCAGGAUUUGAACCCUGGUGGGUUGGGGAUACUACUGUCCACCUAGCCAACUCAACCACAGGUUGAUUCACCUACAUGUAAUCUGAUCCAGAUAUUAAUGAGAUUAAAAAAGUACUCUACUUCCUUAUAAUGACAUGACCCGGUUCUGUGCGUGCC